UCUCCGUUGGUGAACCAGCGGAGGGAUCAUUACAGGACUCGCAAGACUCCUACAACCCUGUGAACUUAACUAUAAGCACGUUGCUUCGGCGGGUGUCUCGGAGGGGGUUCUCCCUCCCCGAGACGCUGAACCCGCCGGCAGCCUACUAUACUCUGUCUCUUUGCGUUGGCAUCUCGAGUACAAUCAAACAAGUUAAAACUUUCAACAACGGAUCUCUUGGUUCUG
rnacentral:misc_RNA from 1 species